GGAUGCUUCUUCGGAAGCAGAGACCGGCGCACGGGUGCGUAACGCGUAUGCAAUCUACCUUUUACAGAGGGAUAGCCCAGAGAAAUUUGGAUUAAUACCUCAUAGUAUUAUGAAAUGGCAUCAUUUUAUAAUUAAAGUCACAACGGUAAAAGAUGAGCAUGCGUCCCAUUAGCUAGUUGGUAAGGUAACGGCUUACCAAGGCUACGAUGGGUAGGGGUCCUGAGAGGGAGAUCCCCCACACUGGUACUGAGACACGGACCAGACUCCUACGGGAGGCAGCAGUGAGGAAUAUUGGACAAUGGGCGCAAGCCUGAUCCAGCCAUGCCGCGUGCAGGAUGACGGUCCUAUGGAUUGUAAACUGCUUUUAUACGAGAAGAAACACUGCUACGUGUAGCAGCUUGACGGUAUCGUAAGAAUAAGGAUCGGCUAACUCCGUGCCAGCAGCCGCGGUAAUACGGAGGAUCCAAGCGUUAUCCGGAAUCAUUGGGUUUAAAGGGUCCGUAGGCGGUUUAAUAAGUCAGUGGUGAAAGCCCAUCGCUCAACGGUGGAACGGCCAUUGAUACUGUUAGACUUGNAAUUAUUAGGAAGUAACUAGAAUAUGUAGUGUAGCGGUGAAAUGCUUAGAGAUUACAUGGAAUACCAAUUGCGAAGGCAGGUUACUACUAAUGGAUUGACGCUGAUGGACGAAAGCGUGGGUAGCGAACAGGAUUAGAUACCCUGGUAGUCCACGCCGUAAAACGAUGGAUACUAGCUGUUGGAAGCAAUUUCAGUGGCUAAGCGAAAGUGAUAAGUAUCCCACCUGGGGAGUACGUUCGCAAGAAUGAAACUCAAAGGAAUUGACGGGGGCCCGCACAAGCGGUGGAGCAUGUGGUUUAAUUCGAUGAUACGCGAGGAACCUUACCAAGGCUUAAAUGUAGAUUGACCGUUUUGGAAACAGAACUUUCGCAAGACAAUUUACAAGGUGCUGCAUGGUUGUCGUCAGCUCGUGCCGUGAGGUGUCAGGUUAAGUCCUAUAACGAGCGCAACCCCUGUUGUUAGUUGCCAGCGAGUCAAGUCGGGAACUCUAACAAGACUGCCAGUGCAAACUGUGAGGAAGGUGGGGAUGACGUCAAAUCAUCACGGCCCUUACGCCUUGGGC
rnacentral:rRNA from 1 species